UGACAGCUGCAGAACAGCACGUUUUUUUUCCUGUUUGCAAUUAUUUUAGGUCGGCAAUCGGGGUUUCCAGGAAUUUUUUAAAAAAAUUAUUCGAAGUGUUCGGAGAUGGGCGAAACGCAAAAUACAACCGAAACACUGCAUCCGGCACAGGAGGCGAUAGCCAAUGGAUACUGGGGGCGGCUACGGAAUGCCGGAAUUUGCCUCAGAACGACGGAAUGCCGGAACCUGUCGCAGACCAAUCCAGUGAAUGAUGAAAUGUGUGAGUAAAGUGUUAAAAUUAUGAGAAUUAAUAAUAAAUGGUAAUAAAUUCA